GUGGGGAAUUUUGCGCAAUGGGGGAAACCCUGACGCAGCAACGCCGCGUGAGUGAUGAAGGCCUUCGGGUCGUAAAGCUCUGUCAGAGGGGAAGAAAUGCAGGGGUGCUAAUAUCAUCUUUGCUUGACGGUACCCUCAAAGGAAGCACCGGCUAACUCCGUGCCAGCAGCCGCGGUAAUACGGAGGGUGCGAGCGUUGUUCGGAAUUAUUGGGCGUAAAGCGCGUGUAGGCGGUUUGGUAAGUCUGAUGUGAAAGCCCCGGGCUCAACCUGGGAAGUGCAUUGGAAACUGUCAGACUUGAAUACGGGAGAGGGUAGUGGAAUUCCUAGUGUAGGAGUGAAAUCCGUAGAUAUUAGGAGGAACACCGGUGGCGAAGGCGGCUACCUGGACCGAUAUUGACGCUGAGACGCGAAAGCGUGGGGAGCAAACAGGAUUAGAAACCCUUGUAGUCC
rnacentral:rRNA from 1 species